rfam:Endozoicomonas numazuensis strain DSM 25634 scaffold00004, whole genome shotgun sequence.
GGAGGUAGGUCCUCCAAAGUCUGCUGUCGGAAGUCGGUUUUAAACCACCUUCAAACGGCUGUUAUUAAGAGUGAUGGUCGGAAGCGUUGAAGGAAAAUCAGAAUGAAAUUCUGGCGAGG